GGGGGGAUGCCCGAGCGGCCAAAGGGAGCAGACUGUAAAUCUGCCGGCGUACGCCUUCGUAGGUUCGAAUCCUACUCCCCCCACGA
rnacentral:tRNA from 1 species